GUACCAAGUCUCCAAGCACAGCAUCACUGCGGAGGCCGCCGAUAACUUGAAGAACUCCGGCAAGCCGGUAAACGCCAUCCAACUGAACCCUUUCCAUGUCUGUUUGCACUUUUCACUCUUCACAAUGUACACAAAUUGGCCUAUAACAAUUAUCCACCACGACAAACUCAACACCAAUGACGCCCCAAGCAACCCGAGCCCAAUCUUAAAAAUCACCACCCAGCUCAACCCCAAAUGCAACACUAACGUAGCAGCGGAGAUGUAUGCACUCGGAGCUACAAUGCUCUGAGCUUGAAGGAAUUUCUGAAUCGGAAAAUUAAUGGCGUAGGCAAAUAUCUGAGGGAUUAAACCGUACACAAACAAUGCCGCUGCUGCUGCAAUUCUCUCAGUUUGGCCUACGAAUAUUAGAAUUGGCUUGCAGAAAAUGUACACUAUGGUGAGUAAAAUUCCUGUUAGAGUUAACAGAACUGUCGAUCUUUGAAGAUAAACACCAAGCAUAUCGUAUUUCUUUGCCCCAAAUGCUUGACCACAUAGUGUUUCCACUGCACUUCCCAUGCCCAACAUAAGACCAUACGCGAAAACUUGAAUCCCUGUAUUUCCAAGUGAAGCAGCAGCAAGCUCAAGAUUACCCAAGUGACCGGAGAAUAUCUGAGUCGACAUAGACAUGAUGUAAUUAAUCAUGUAAACCAUAACCGCCGGAGCAGCAAGGAAGAAGAGGAGCUUCAUUUCUAUCCAUGUCGCUAAUCGGAGUUUACUCCAGAGAGUUAUUUCAGUGUCCAAAAGCACAGUUUCGAGCUCGUUGCUUGAUUCAAAGUUGUGAGUUUCAGAUAAUUGUGGUGAUAAUGAUGUUACAUUGUUUUGUAGAAAUGGCCGGUAAAUGUCGUUUUCCGGCGAAGCCAUCAAUUCCGGUGACUGAAGAAAGAGGAUAAAGUUGGAAAAAGAAAACUUAGAAAUGUAGUAAUAUUAGUGAGAGUGUAUAAUAUAUA
rnacentral:misc_RNA from 1 species